rnacentral:lncRNA from 1 species
ACGCUGGGUGUUUGAUCACAGAGCUCUACAGGUGGGUGGAUUGCUGCCGGGUGUUUGAUCACAGAGCUCUACAGGUGGGUGGAUUGCUGCCGGGUGUUUGAUCACAGAGCUCUGAGGUGGGUGGAUUGACGCUGGGUGUUUGAUCACAGAGCUCUGCCGGUGGGUGGAUUGCUGCCGGGUGUUUGAUCACAGAGCUCUGCCGGUGGGUGGAUUGACGCUGGGUGUUUGAUCACAGAGCUCUACAGGUGGGUGGAUUGCUGCCGGGUGUUUGAUCACUGAGCUCUGCCGGUGGGUGGAUUGACGCUGGGUGAUUGAUCACAGAGCUCAGGAUUAUGAAGAAUAUAUCCCCUCCAUGGAGCCUGAAUAUAGAGGAAUAACAAAGUUCAUGUUUCACUCUUUCCAAAGCCAUCAAACACUGUGAGGAAAUUGCCACUUACCCCAAGAACGUAUCACCUUUCGCCUUGAGACAUACAGUUGUUGGAACUUCAAAUGUUAGUCCAAAAUAAAUAUAGCCAAGCUGGAAACAUAACUGACCUGCAGAGUUUAGAUUUUUGUCUAAAAAUUUGAAAUUCACUUUGAACCCUAACCAUUCACACUCUAGUAAAUGGCCCUGUAAGAAUCUUUAUAUACUAUAUGGAUAAUCGACUGUCACGUCCAUAUGAGCAUGUUGGACAUCCCAUUUCAAAACUAUGGGCUUAAAAUGGUUAUUCCAAGCACCAUAACCACUUCAUGGAUUGGAAGUGAUCAUGUUGCCUGGGAGGGGCAUAACUAGGAAUCACAGGACCCUGGUGGAAGAAUCAAAGGAAGGUCCCGUUACCGCCCUCCUUGCUUCCCCUAAGCAGUACAUCUGAGUGGGAUAUGUGCGGUGGCUGAGUGUGAUUCUGUGUGGGGAAUGGUUGAGUCCGAUUGUGUUGACGGAGUGUGAUUGUAUAUGAGGUUUGGCUGCAUGUUGAGUGAUUGGUCCUGCUUGGGUCCCCUCCAUAAACAUAGCAAGCCCCUGUGCUGAUGCUUAUAUCCUGGCUUCACUUCCAACACACUGGCGUCAGAGUAUUCCCAUACUCCGCCAAUAAGCUCCUGCUGGGGGAGUAACACAGUGACACAGCUGUUUUUUAAAUUAAAGCUCUUUAAAUUAAAAUUUCUGCUAGCACAAUGUACAGAUGGAAUUUAAUGCUCUUUAAUAUAACAUACAUUUAUUAAUAAUACAUGUAUGUGUAUGACCGGGUCAAAGGUGUGGGUGUCGAAGGAAGAGAUUUAGGUCCCAGAAUCAAAACCAUCUGUAUCCCCUUCAGGGAGUAAGAAAAAAAAACUACAUUUCCCAGCAAGCAGCUCUACAGGUGAGGGAUAACCAAGGACCCACACCUAACUUUAAUUAAAGUUUAAAUGGUCUUUAACCCCUAAAGGACCAAACCUCUGGAAUAAAAGGGAAUCAUGACAUGUUACACAUGUCAUGUGUCCUUAAGAGGUUAAAUGAUCAGUGUAAGAAAGGCUUACAACCUUUAUUUGGUUGCUGGUUGCAGAGAGGUAAGAGGUUGAUAUGUAAACGUGGUGUUUUCACAUGCUGUGUUUGGUAAAUCGAUUUAGCCAUCCAGGGAGUGACUGUGUUAUAGUUCGUGCUUUGGUGAGAGCUAGAAUUUAUUGGAUGUUGUUUUGGAAUUGCUGGAAAUAUAACCUCAUUGGACUGUACAAUAAAUUGUAUUAAAAGACUACCAGAUCUUGUUGUGUCUAACCCUGGGAGACUGCUAAGAUCCCUAACACUGUGAGGGUUAAUUACAAUAUAUGUGUGUGUGUAAACACACAAAUUAUUAUUACAAAUCACAUGACACAAACACUAAAAGAUACGCCUCCACUGGUACACAUACACUGACCCAGCAGCUCACUGACUGGCACACCCUCUGUUACACUCACUGACAGACACACUGACCCAGCAGCUUACUGACUGGCACACCCUCUGAUACACAUACACUGACCCAGCAGCUCACUGACUGGCACACCCUCUGUUACACUCACUGACAGACACACUGACCCAGCAGCUUACUGACUGGCACACCCUCUGAUACACUCACUGACAGACACACUGACCCAGCAGCACGGCUACACACCCUCUGAUACACUCACUGAGCAGACACACACUUGGCAACACUGACUGGCACACCCUCUGAUACACUCACUGACAGACACACUGACCCAGCAGCUUACUGACUGGCACACCCUCUGAUACACUCACUGACAGACACACUGACCCAGCAGCUCACUGACUGGCACACCCUCUGUUAUACUCACUGACAGACACACUGACCCAGCAGCUCACUGACUGGCACACCCUCCUGAUACACUCACUGACCCAGCAGCUUACUGACUGGCACACCCUCUGAUACACUCACUGACAGACACACUGACCCAGCAGCUCACUGACUGGCACCCUCUGGUACACUCACUGACAGACACACUGACCCAGCAGCUCACUGACUGGCACACCCUCUGAUACACUCACUGACAGACACACUGACCCAGCAGCCCCUGAAAGCACCCUCCUGAUACCCUCACUGACAGACACGCACUGACCCAGCAGCUUACUGACUGGCACCCUCUGAUACACUCACUGACAGACACACUGACCCAGCAGCUCACUUUGACUGGCACACCCCUCUGAUAAACUCACUGACAGACACUGACCCAGCAGCUCACUGGCACACCCUCUGAUACACAUACACUCACUGACAGGCACACUGACCCAGCAGCUCACUGACUGGCACACCCUCUGAUACACAUACACUCACUGACAGGCACACUGACCCAGCAGCUCACUGACUGGCACACCCUCUGAUACACAUACACUCACUGACAGGCACACCGACCCAGCAGCUCACUGACUGGCACACCCUCUGAUACACUCACUGACAGACACACUGACCCAGCAGCUCACUGACUGGCACACCCUCUGAUAUACAUACACUGACCCAGCAGCUCACUGACGGGCACGCGCUCAGAUACACAUACUCAUUGACAGACACACUCUGAUACAUACAUACAUACAUACAUACACUGACACACAUACAUACAUACACUCUCACUGAUACUGACACCGCACUCACAAAUUACAAUUGUAUUUGAGUUUAAGUUCACCUAGCCUCCCUACCUUUUGGAAGAGUUAGUGUAGAUCCUGUCUUGGGGUCCAGUGGGGGCUGCUGUGAUCAUCUUCCUGGUCUUCUAGCUCAGUUCCCUCGCUUGCUGUUUAUGCAGGCAGGAGCCUGCAUAUUUCAAUUCCCGUCCUCACAGUAGCCAGCGAGGUAGCAGAGCAAGAAGACUACAGGUCCCUCGCUGCCCUCUUCCAUUGUGCAUAGCUGCUUACAUCGGGGGGGCCUAAGAUGGCCAGCCAGCUCUUGCGCUCCAAGCAGAACACUGGCCAGUCUCACUCGGAACCUCAGCAGUUCUGCCACUGGUACCUGGAGUCUGUAUGUGCAGUGUUUCACUGUGAAAUCCUACACCUACAGAUACUAACCCCAUCGGGAUGUAUAACUGGGAAGGCUCUACACAAGAUAUUAGACGGUAUGGGUAUUUGUGUCUAUUUAGCCAAAAAGGCAUUUAUGUUGUCCGAGAAGGUAUUUCUCCCGUUCUGUAUUUCAGUUCCUCUCAGAGGUGUUCAGUGAGGUAGAGGACAGAGCUCUGUUCAGGACACCCCAAACUCCUCAAACCACGCCUUCAUGGAAAAAGUAAAACCACCAAGACGGAUUAAUUUGACACUCUUUAGAAAAGGCAGAAAAAUGUCGUGUGUGUGUGUGUGUGUGUGUGUGUGUGUGUGUGUGUGUGUGUGUGUGUGUGUGUGUGUAAAGGGUGUUUGUAACAGUUUUAUACAUCAGAAAAUUGACAAUUGUUAUACAUCACUCCAGCAGUGGCUGGUGAAGUUUAAAGAUUGGAAGAAUCUCUAAAUAAUUUGAAGAUGAGUCACUGUCCAGACUCUACCUCUGAAGUUUUACUAUGCCUCCUUAAAGGGAUACGAUCAGUACCUGUCAUACAAAGCUAUUCCUGGAACUAUGGCUUCCUAUGCGUACUAUUGCGACGUAGCACAACGUGCAGGUGCUAAUGCGCAUGCAUGACAAAUGUCAGAGCUACUAUAUUAACUGCAAUAUUUGAAGAAGUUGCAGGAUGCAUUCAAGAACUAUUUUGCAAGUGUUAGUGGACUUUACGCCCUCCCAAAUCUCACUGUACAUAUAACCGUAUUUUGUUCUUUUAACUGCGUCUUUCCUGAUUUUUACACGAUCUCUCCCUAAACGCAGCCUGUGUAUAUUUUCUUUGGUUUGUAGAACUCGUUCUCGCCCUCAGCGGACGCGUGGACAUUUAACAUGUUUCCUUGUUUUGUUUAAUUGAAUGUCUGUAAUCCUUAUGCCUCAGAUUUGGACCACUUCACGUAAACCCUGUAAUAUUCAGAGAGGGCUUAGUGAGAUAUAGCCCACAUGCUAAUGAGCAGGAAAAGCGUAAAAUAAGAAACUGCGCUAUUCCAGCAGCAGCUGUCCGUCCUAAUCUGCAGCGUCAUCGAGCACAAUCUAUACAGCAAUUGGGUUAAACCUUCUAAUGUAGUGCCCAUUAUUAAAUCCUUCUUAAGGGAACUCAUUUUAAUAUGCAGAUUAUUAAGCAGAAAAGGAGGGACACAUUUAAUGAGCACAGAAUAGGAGAGGAUUGAGUCCCAGACUGGCCCAGAGCCAGCAAGCUCCAUCUAUACAUAUCUAGCCAGUAUUCUGUUACUGUUGUGAGUUUGUGCAUGUCAGUGUAUUCCUCCUGUUUUAAUGUAGGGCCUGCAUGCUAUGGCAUCUCAGGGCAUGCCCUGUGUAUUACGGCGUGCCCGCGUGCGCCCUGUGUAUUACAGCAUGUCAAUAUGAGGUGUGUUGCUAUAUGUUAGUGCAUAUAUUAUUGUAUAAAAUUAAGAGAAUAGGCAUCUUAAUAUCCAGAUGUAAAGCAGCUUGAGCACCCAAACUGGAGUCUUUCAGUCGUUAGAAUGCAGUAAAGGAGAUAAACGGGGGAGCAGAGCCUUGGACAAAAUCCUUAAAUUCACGAUGGUAGGUGGUAGAGGAGGGAAAGGGUAUGUGUGUGUAUAUCUAUAUCUCUAUCUCUAUAUAUAAACUCAAAACGUCAGAAGAAAAAAAUAAAUUUUAUUUACAGUGUGAAGUACUGGCUUUUAGCUCCGAUUGUAGUUCUUGGGCAGCAUAAUCCCUGCCUGUGGAUAUGGAUCUGUUUUUGUUUUUUUCCCUUGGUCUAACGUAGUAUAGCGUAGGAAUAAGCACCAGGAUAGUGCAGUAUGUCAGGAGAUCAAAUUGAAUAAGUAUAAUAAAAAUGCACACUCACAUUAGUUGGAGCCUUCAGAUAGCUCUCUUUCUAAUGCCUAGGGUGGAAUAAUCCCCACUAUAGGAUAUAUGUACAGAAAUCUCUCUCUGAUAUGGGUAGAUAAAAUAAAAUCCUCACCGUGGAUAUAAAACCAUAACAACAUAUAGUGAAAACUGUAUAUAUUUAAACAAUCAGAAAAGUACUCACAUUUGGGAGAGCAACCAAUGUUUUGUUCAAUCUAAAUUCGCUUAGGUGGUAUAUUCCCCACCAAGGAAGAUGUUGCUCCACCAGCGAAGGAAUUGGGAAGGUCCAGAAAAUAUGAAGUAAUAUUACCUUCAUUAUAGCGCUAAUAUAAAAAAGAAUAAUACACAAACACGUUUCACCUAAGGUGUAGGCUCCAACAAAUGUGAGUGCACAUUCUUAUUAUACGUACUUUUUAUUCAAUUUGAUCUCCUGACAUACCACACUAUCCUGGUGCUCUGUUUGUGUUGUAUAUCUACACUAUGCUGUACUGUGUUGGACCAAGAAAGAAAAAAGGACCCAUAUCCACAGGCGGGGAUUUUACCGCCCAAGUGCUACAAUUGUAGGUAAAAGGCAGCUUCCUGCACUGCAAGUGCAGGUGAAGUUUUGAUAUAUACUACACUAUAUAUCCCCUCUAGUACAUGCCAUUGUGAAUUUGAGGACUUCUUUAAGCCGCUGCAUAUAUUAUUGUAUGUCCGUGUGUUACUGUAUGUUAGCGUGUAUUAUUGUAUGUCAGUGUUACUGUAUGUUGGUAUGAGUGUUGUCUGUCUUACUGUAUGUUAGCGUGUAUUAUUGUAUGUGUGUUACUGUAUGUUAGCUUGUGUAUUAUUGUAUAUCUGUGUGUUAGUGUAUUUGUCCUUUUAUGUAUGACAUGGUGUGGCCCCUGUGUAUGUCACAUGUUAUAUGAUGUCUUCCAAGCUUUUAUAGUGUCAUGGUGGGCCUUCGGAAUAAUAAGUUGGGACAGGGCAGAAAGGGUAGUUAGUAGAUUCCACUCACAAUCCUGGUGCUAUGCGAGUUCACUAAUCUGAUUUAACUCUCGGGGCCAGUACUGUCAAUGGUCUAAUUGCAAUUUAGACUUGACUAUUCUGACCUAAUUCAUUCAUUAGAUAAUCAGCUCUUUCCGUGCCCUCCCCACUUCUGUCAACAAGUUUCUCUCAUUUACAUAAAUAAUUUCUAUUCAAUUAAGUGACCAGAUGUCCAAGUUGUGCUGCAAAUGAAUUAAAAAUAAAUAUAAUUUAAUAAUGGCUGAUUAGAAGGAAUUAAUUGUUAUAUAAAGAGGAAAAAUCAAGAGGCCGCUAUUUACCCCAGAUUGGCGCUCCUCCACAUUAAUUAUAGGCAACUCUCUCUGACUAAUCUCCCUAACCCUUUCCCUGGAGCUUGUCUGCAACAUGUGGCAGACAUAUUAUUUUAUGUGCAGCAUGCCACUGGUGGGCCUGUUGCCACAUGGGCCGACGUGGUGCGAUUUUAAUCCUUAAUUUAUAGGCUAUUAUUUGCGUAAAGACAACUCAAAUGCCCAAACUUCCCCAUAAUUGCUUAACAUGUGAAAAUGCUUUAAAAAAAAAAAAGCAUGCUAUCCCGUCUCCAUGCUCUAUCACAAUGUAAGUGCGUUUGGUGGGCCUUUCACAAGAUCGUCUACUGAUUGGACUAAUUCCGGGUACGUACUUGGUUCGGCGAAUGAGAUUAGUAUGAGCUAAGCUGCUGACACGACUCCGAUCCACAGCCACUGACCCCUUUCUUCUUCACGCUGUGAAAUACCUUUCUUCUGCAAGGAUUAGGGAAUGGCUUUUUUUUUUUUUUCUGUCCUUCCAAUGAAAAGGGGGCUUAUUCACUAAAUGGUGCUCUGUAUUUGGCACGUUGAAAAACCACACAUUUUGCUAAAUAUUACUUUAUGUAUGGCUACCUGCAUAUGAUUUCUUCAUUAAUUUCUGAGGAGAGUUUAAAAAUUUUUAAUAAAUAAAAUUAAAAAACUGUUAAAAUUUGAUACUAUUUUAUAGCCGUAUACAGUGUUAUGCCAUGCAGAACUUGGGAAAUAACAUUUCUCACACUUUGAGAUUGUCUUCAUUUUAAAAUGUUUUAUAUAUGCAUAUUUCAUGUGAAAUGAAAGCCCUAUUUCUCUUGAAGAUGAUAUAUAAGUGUGGGUGGAAUUAUUACGAAAGAGGUAAAUUAUGGUUGAACCACAUAUAGUUAAAAUUCUAGGGUUUGUUCUGGUUCACAACUUGGACAAUUGCCUGCAUCCUUAAGGGGUUAAAGACACAUUAUGUUAUACACUCAGACACAUUACUGGGAGUAUUAUUGCUGUGGAGCUUUGUUAUACACUCAGACACAUUACUGGGAGUAUUAUUGCUGUGGAGCUCUGUUAUACACUCAGACACAUUACUGGGAGUUUUAUUACUGUGGAGCUCUGUUAUACACUCAGACACAUUACUGGGAGUAUUAUUGCUGUGGAGCUCUGUUAUACACUCGGACACAUUACUGGGAGUAUUAUUGCUGGGGAGCUCUGUUAUACAUUCAGACACAUUACUGGGAGUAUUAUUGCUGGGGAGCUCUGUUAUACACUCAGACACAUUACUGGGAGUAUUAUUGCUGGGGAGCUCUGUUAUAAAAUUUUACACUCCAACAAUUUGAAGCUCCUAGAAAAGAGGGACAGAGGGAUUUGGACCGUAAAUAGGAAUUGUCCCUCCUAAAUAGGGACACUUGGGAGAUAUGCUUUGAGUUAAGUGUGACCUCCUUUUCCCUCAUUAAAAAUAAAUUGUCACUUUUAUAAGUGACAGUCUGCAUAGUUCCUGGUUCAAAAUGCUUGAACAAUUGUUCAAGUGAAAUUCAGAGCUUUCAUAAGUAAGCAUUAGUCAAUACUUCUACAGUUGUACUCAUUGUUUGCAUACCCUUGGAGAAUUGGGAAUAUAUGGACCAUUUUUAAAGAAAACAUGAGCGAGCAGGGAAAACACAUUUCUUUUAUUUCUUAUGGGAUUAAUAUUCAACUGUAAGUUAUAACAGAAUGGCACAAUCAUAAAACAAAACAUGGCAAUAAAGUAAAAAAAUGAAAUGACCUAUGUUCAAAAGUCUGCAUACCAUUUGUUCUUAAUACUUUGUAUUUCCCCCUUAAUUACAAUGACAGUGUGCAGUCUUUUGUAAUAGUUCUCUAUGAGGCCCCUAAUUCUUGCAGGUGGUAUAGCUGCCCAUUCGUCUUGGCAAAAUGCCUCCAGGUCAUGCAAAGUCUUUGGUCGUCUUGCAUGAACCACACAUUUGAGAAGCCACCAUAGUGGAUCGAUGAUAUUAAGGUCAGGAGACUGUGAUGGCCACUCCAGAACCUCCACCUUUAUCUGCUGUAACCAUGGCCGUCUUUAAUUUUGAUUGGACCCUGGGCAAGCAUUUACUUGGGACUAUAUAUAUACAUACAUACAUACAUACAUACACACACACACACUACCUGACACACAUGCAGAUACACACUGACUGCAUGUAGAUACACACAAGAACAUACAGAUACACACAGACUACAUAUAGAUACACUGACACACACAUAGAAAUACACACAGAUAUAAACACUGACAUACAUGCAGAUACAAAAGGUACACCCAUUGACUACAUAUAGAUACACACACACACACACACACACUGACACACAUCCAGAUACACAACCUAAAACACAUGCAGAUAUACAGAUACAAAUACAGAUACACACACACACACACACACACACACACACAAACGGAAAACAUACAGAUACAGAGGCACAUUCUGACAGACGUACUGACACAGACAGCCAUACUGAAAUACAGAUACACAAAGACAUACUGAACCACACAGACACUGACAUACAGAUACAUUGACAGACAUACUAGCACAUAUACACACAGACAGACGGACAUACUGAAACACACAUACACACAGACAUAUUGACAAACACAGACAUACAGAACCACAUGGACACUGACAGACAUACAGACAUUCUGGCACACAUACACACAGACAGCCAUACUGAAACACACAUACACACAUACAUACAUACUGAACCACACAGACACUGACAGACAUACUGACACACUGACAGACAUACUGACAUACUGACACACUGACAGACAUACACACAUAUACAGACAUACUGAAACACACAGACACUGACAGACUCUCACACACACAGACAUACAGAUACACUGACAGACAUACUGGCACACUAACAGACAUACACAGAUACUGACACACUCAUGCAAAAUUUGAUAACCACCCUCCAGUUUCUUACCUUUUCCUGGAGGGUGGCUUCCCUGGGGUCCAGUGGGCUGGCUGGGGUGGCUGGGAGUUAAGCUCUCCCGGCCUGGCCCCCUCCGGAACAGCUGGUCCUCCUUCCUCCCGCGCGGCUAUUGUUUCUGUGGGAGGAAGUGACGCACGGCUGUCACUUCCUCCCAGUGCUGCCGAAAAGCAAGGGCCUGGUCGAGCUGUUAAAGCGCCACAUCACCCGACCGGGCCCCUGCUGACACAGGCCCACUGGGUGGCCCUAAGUGCAUGGGCCACCCAAUGGGACCCCAUAGUUUGCGGGCAGAGGGCAAACAGGGCAGUUACCUCGGGCCCCCCAGCAGGGACAGGGCCCGGGGCAGCUGCCCUGUUUGCCCCGCGUUAAAGACGGCCCUGGCUGUAACCACUGGAGGGCAGUGCCAUCUUAACAGCAUUAUGGGCCCCAGGGCAAAGCAGUGCACUGGGGCCCUGCCUACAUAACAAUUUAACAAAAUUAAGCUUAAAUUUAUUGGUACCUCUAUCAAAUGCCAUACAUGCAUACAAUAUACACACAUACAGCAGUGAAGGGUGCAGUGUAUGUUUGUGUUGGUUGCAGAGUUUAACCCCUUAGGGACCAAACUUCUGGAAUAAAAGGGAAUCAUGACAGGUCACACAUGUCAUGUGUCCUUAGGGGGUUAAAGGGUGCAGGUAGCAAAUUAUUUUAUUUAUUUUUUGUUGCAAAUAAUACUUUACAUUAAUAAAAUCUUCAUGUCAUGUAAAUGCACCACAACCACUGUAAUACAGCUACUAUAUACCAGUGCAAGAACAAGGCUGUUGUAAAACAUAUUGUCAAUACAACAACUAAUCAAGAGACUGACAUCUAAGUAUUUCAUGAAAAGAUGUUCUGUAACUGUUUCAUUCAUUAAAUUUAAAGGGANNNNNNNNNNNNNNNNNNNNNNNNNNNNNNNNNNNNNNNNNNNNNNNNNNNNNNNNNNNNNNNNNNNNNNNNNNNNNNNNNNNNNNNNNNNNNNNNNNNNGGGGAUAUGCCUCUCCAGGGCUCCUCCUUCCCACCCUCCCAGUGGACUUGAGGAAAAUGGACAAUUGAAUUUGUUAUCAGCGAAGGAUAAUGUACCAUUGGGUAUCAGCUUGUAUCUGCAGUGUUAGCAAUGUUAUUGCUAGCAUAAUGGGAGCUUGUCUGAAUGGGCGACUGAGAGAACAUUAUUAGUGGAGGUAAACUCAUCAUUCCUGACUGUCAGGGUUAGGGUGAGACGGUUUCACUAGUUUGCUGUUUGCGCUGGAGGUAUUUCCUGGCAGGCGACUUUCUGGCCUCCUUUAUAUUAAUAUAUGGGAUGAUCAAGAUCUCCUCACUAUUAACGAUAAGCUGAUCUGUGUCCUUAUAGUGCAAAGUGCACAAUUCUUGUAAGAAUACAGAAUAAUGUACAAUAAAUAGUUCAAUCACUUUUUCUUUUCUUUUUUUUGUCAAGUAUUUGCUUUUUUUUUCUGCACCCAAAUUAAAUUAUUAUCGCCAUUUAUAUAGCGCCAACAGAUUCCGUAGCGCUUUACAAUAUGUUGAUGAUAUAGCAUCAAAAAUUACGCAAUACUUUUAGUAUUCACAUGUCAUAGAAAUUCCUCUGUGGAUUAGCCUAUACAUAUGCACUCUAUAAAAACUCCAGUUGCUCAAGUUUUCAUACUUGAAAAGAGGGAAAUGUGUGAUUGAUAUUUAAAACAUAAAUUUUAAUAAGCAGCCACUAUAAAAAGUUAAACUACCUAUAAAUGAAGGGUAUAAAGGGGAUCCAAAAUGGAACAGUAGAUAAUCUGAUAAAUUCUUGUAGCUCUAAGUAGCGGUUACUGCUUAGAAGCUAGUUACAAAUUCCUAAUGAAAACCAACCUUAAUAAAGAGAGGGGACGGUUUCAUAUAGUUUGAAGGUGGUUUGUAGGACAAAUUUAUAAAAUCGGUAGACAGUCAUUAAACUUAAUUUGAUAUUGAAAAGCCUUACCUAGAUGGAGGGGAACAGUUAGUGAGAUAAUAUCCCUGGACCCUGUAGCCUACAAAUUUCCAUACUUGUUCCAGUCUUGCACAGGCACAAUGCAGACAUUAAGAGAUCCCUAUUUAUUAACACUGAGCUGCCAUUUGUCUGGCCACUAACUAAAUGGAAAGGCUAAACGUUCACUUUCUGGAACCAUUAAUAAGAACUUUUGUCCAUUUCCAUGUAAUGCUUCAUUUUCUUUAAAUGUGAAUUAAAGAUUUAGCAAUCCGGCUCAGUCCUGGCACCGCCAGGGCACACGUUGCAUUGGUAGAGGUAAAACAAGCAUGGUUUUGCUUCCUCCUCCUGUCUCAGUGCUGAUUGACAGGUGCAAAGGGUGGAGCUUUCCAGUUAACUUUCCUUUUUUAGACUUACAUACUUGAAUACAGAAGUGAUACGUAAAUAUAAUCUUGAAAAACCAUGGGGUGUAAGUAUAUCUGUAAAGAAUGCUUAUCUUGCUUACAAUUCUGUGUUCUCUGCACAGAUACAAUGUAUGUUUUAGUGCUUACUUUAUUGUGGUUGUUAUUUAUUUUUUUUCUGUUAAAUAAUACUGUAUACUUUGCAGUAUUGUAUUUCUAAUGCAGUUUGUGAUUCUUGAAAAAUAUAUAUACAUUUUUCCAGCUUACAAGGAUUUCCAGUGAGAGCAUUGGGUCUCAUCAGGCAUUUAAAACAUCCCUGUACUGUUGCUGGGAUAUAAUUGGCAGAACUGCGCAAAUAUCUGUUCCUGAUUGGCUGCUUGCACCACAUGAUCUUAGCACCUUUUUAUUAUCACUAAUUACCAUUGAGAGUUUAAAAUAUGUAAUUUCAGGAUAACCAGCCACACUAUGUAAUUGUCAGAUAUCAUCUGGUAGUUACAGAUUCAUGUCCUGCAGCUUGGGUCGAUGGCAAUAAUAUUAUUCUCACCUCAUCUAUUUAAAGAAUAUUUCUGGUCUCCAGUUGGACUUAACCCAGGGCUGAUCUUCUAUUAGAUAAAACAAACUCCAUCAUGCUUCACAUUGCUUUCUAUGUCCCUGCUACCUAUCUCUGCCCUCAUUCCUGUUCCCAAUUCUUUCUCUCCCCCUUGCUCCAUCAUUGCUUUCUAUGUCCCUGCUACCUAUCUCUGCCCUCGUUCCUCUUCCCAAUGUUCCCAAUUCUUUCUCUCCCCCUUGCUCCAUCAUUGCUUUCUAUGUCCCUGCUACCUAUCUCUGCCCUCGUUCCUCUUCCCAAUGUUCCCAAUUCUUUCUCUCCCCCUUGCUCCAACAUUGCUUUCUAUGUCCCUGCUCACUAUCUCUGCCCUCAUUCCUCUUCCCAAUUCUUUCUCUCCCCCUUUCUCCAUCAUUGCUUUCUAUGUACCUGCUACCUAUCUCUGCCCUCGUUCCUCUUCCCAAUGUUCCCAAUUCUUUCUCUCCCCCUUGCUCCAUCAUUGCUUUAUGUCCCUGCUACCUAUCUCUGCCCUCGUUCCUCUUCCCAAUGUUCCCAAUUCUUUCUCUCCCCCUUGCUCCAUCAUUGCUUUCUAUGUCCCUGCUACCUAUCUCUGCCCUCGUUCCUCUUCCCAAUGUUCCCAAUUCUUUCUCUCCCCCUUGCUCCAUCAUUGCUUUAUAUGUCCCUGCUACCUAUCUCUGCCCUCGUGCCUCUUCCCAAUGUUCCCAAUUCUUUCUCUCCCCCUUGCUCCAUCAUUGCUUUCUAUGUACCUGCUACCUAUCUCUGCCCUCGUUCCUCUUCCCAAUGUUCCCAAUUCUUUCUCUCCCCCUUGCUCCAUCAUUGCUUUAUGUCCCUGCUACCUAUCUCUGCCCUCGUUCCUCUUCCCAAUGUUCCCAAUUCUUUCUCUCCCCCUUGCUCCAUCAUUGCUUUCUAUGUCCCUGCUACCUAUCUCUGCCCUUGUUCCUCUUCCCAAUGUUCCCAAUUCUUUCUCUCCCCCUUGCUCCAUCAUUGCUUUCUAUGUCCCUGCUACCUAUCUCUGCCCUCGUUCCUCUUCCCAAUGUUCCCAAUUCUUUCUCUCCCCCUUGCUCCAUCAUUGCUUUCUAUGUACCUGCUACCUAUCUCUGCCCUCGUGCCUCUUCCCAAUGUUCCCAAUUCUUUCUCUCCCCCUUUCUCCAUCAUUGCUUUCUAUGUACCUGCUACCUAUCUCUGCCCUCGUGCCUCUUCCCAAUGUUCCCAAUUCUUUCUCUCCCCCUUGCUCCAUCAUUGCUUUCUAUGUCCCUGCUACCUAUCUCUGCCCUCGUGCCUCUUCCCAAUGUUCCCAAUUCUUUCUCUCCCCCUUUCUCCAUCAUUGCUUUCUAUGUACCUGCUACCUAUCUCUGCCCUCGUGCCUCUUCCCAAUGUUCCCAAUUCUUUCUCUCCCCCUUGCUCCAUCAUUGCUUUCUAUGUCCCUGCUACCUAUCGCUGUCCUCGUUCCUCUUCCCAAUGUUCCCAAUUCUUUCUCUCCCACUUUCUCCAUCAUUGCUUUCUAUGUACCUGCUACCGAUCUCUGCCCUCGUUCCUCUUCCCAAUGUUCCCAAUUCUUUCUUUGCCCCUUUCUCUCUCCACUAUGUUCCCUAUUGCUCUCUGCCUCUUGUUCUCCUUUUUCUGUAUUCUGAUGCAGUAAUUAUAACCGCUUUCUCCAUAAAGAUCCUUGCUGGAUACAAUCUGGGUUUCAGUAGCUCUGAUUAUUUUGUUAAGCGUUAUUCGAAUAGACAGGACUGAGUGAAAUUAAUCAAUCUAAAUUCAAUUAGCAUCAUGUUUAACCCAGUGAUGGACGUCUCAAGGUGAAGCCACCAUCAGUGCUUCAUUCAUUAGUAUUCUGUCCACUUACAUCCUCCUAAAUUACAAUCCACAGAGCUCCCUUUAUAGCCACCAUGGAGAAAAUUAUUCAUCUCCGGCACCAUCUCAGCCCGUACAGGGACAACACCAAACAUCCUUACCCCACCCCUAUACAACACAGGACAUCCAUACGUUCUGACUAUAUUGCACCAUAUAGCAGUAUAUCUCCAUUUUGUAUAUUGUACUGCACUUGUAUACCCCUCUAGUGUACAUUUCACAACACUUGUAUAACCCUCUGGUGUACACUGCAUGGCACUGUGUAUAUCUCCUUGGGGAAUACUGCAUGGCACUGUGUAUAUCCCCCAGGUGUAUAUUGCACAGCACUGUGUAUACCCCCUGGGUUAUAUUGCACGGCACUGUGUAUAUCCCCUGGGUUAUAUUGCACGGCACUGUGUAUACCCCCUGGUUUAUAUUGCACGGCACUGUGUAUACCCCCUGGUUUAUAUUGCAUGGCACUGUGUAUACCCCCUGGUUUAUAUUGCACGGCACUUUGUAUACCCCUGGUGUAUUUUAGAUAGCACUGGGUAUAUCAACCUGGUGUCUAUAGCACAGCGCUGUGUAUUUUCUCGUGUAUGUGUGUGUUGCACAGUGCUGUGUAUUUUCUCCUGUGUGUGUGUGUUGCACAGUGCUGUGUAUUUUCUCCUGUGUGUGUGUGUUGUACAGCGCUGUGUAUUUUCUCCUGUGUGUGUUGCACAGCGCUGUGUGUUUUCUCCUGUGUUUGUGUGUGUGUGUGUUGUACAGCGCUGUGUAUUUUCCCCUGUGUGUGUGUGUUGUACAGCGCUGUGUAUUUUCCCCUGUGUGUGUGUGUUGUACAGCGCUGUGUAUUUUCCCCUGUGUGUGUUGUACAGUGCUGUGUGUUGUACAAUGCUGUGUAUUUCCCCCGUGUGUGUUGCAUAGUGCUGUGUAUUUUCCCCCUGUGUGUGUUGCACAGCGCUGUGUAUUUUCCCCUGUGUGUGUUGCACAGCGCUGUGUAUUUUCCCCUGUGUGUGUUGCACAGCGCUGUGUAUUUUCCCCUGUGUGUCUUGCACAGCGCUAUGUAUUUUCCCGUGUGUGUUGUACAGCGCUGUGUAUUUUCCCCUGUGUGUGUGUGUGUGUGUGUUGUACAGCGCUGUGUAUUAUCCCCCGUGUGUGUUGUACAGCGCUGUGUAUUUUCCCCUGUGUGUGUUGUACAGUGCUGUGUGUUGUACAAUGCUGUGUAUUUCCCCUGUGUGUGUUGCACAGUGCUGUGUAUUUUCUCCUGUGUGUGUGUGUUGCACAGCGCUGUGUAUUUUCUCCUGUGUGUGUGUUGCAUAGCGCUGUGUAUUUUCCCCUGUGUGUGUGUGUGUGUGUGUGUGUGUGUGUGUGUGUGUGUUGCACUGUGCUGUCUAUUUUCCCCGUGUGUGUGAGUGUGUGUGUUGCACAGCGCUGGGUAUAUUCACACACUGCUGUUAGACUCCUGGUAAUUGAAUAGAUGCUGUGACGUUGUGCUGGCUGAUCAGUGGAGGAGGUGAGAAGCGGUGGUGGUGUAAUUUACACUGGAAUGGGCAGUGGGCAGCGCUGGAGGAGGUGCCUGUGUGGAGCAGACUGGACUUCCCGUCAUAUUUCAUGCUGAGAGCCGUGCGCUCUACCCCGGGAAUACACAACACGGCCUCUAAUGGGAUUUGGGAGCAGCAUGUGUGAAUUUGUUUCAGGAGUCUGAAAUGAACAGAUGUUGGUAUAAAUUACCUCUGUGUCUGACGUCUUGCAAAUUAAAAGCGCGCCUGGCAUUGCUAAACAAUCUCGCCAGGUUUGGGAGGGAGAGGGGACAGGGCGGGGGACCCGGGUUCUGUUCUGUAAGCCUCCUUAAUGUGAAGAAGAACAGAGAAGACCGGAAAUAGAGAUCAUCAUGGGGCCUUUUAAUGCUAAGUGUAAGCUAAAUCGGUGAAUGUGUUCGCUGAGCUAUAUUGGGCCUGGAGGAAUCCCACUGCGAAUACAUUAUGGAGAGCCACGACUUUAUCAGAAGUACCCCAAAUAGUACAGCUCAGUGUAGUGGUUAUGGUGUAAAGGAGCUGUGGGUGUUAUUGUAGGUUUAUGGUAUGACCUUUGGCGCAGUUUUACAAUAACUUGGCCUCUCUUAGCAUCUUAACAUCAUGGACCUGCGGUGUCCUUGUGGCCUUGACAUUAGCUGAGCAGCAGUGGAAGGGUUGGGAUUUGGGCGCAGGGAGCGCAUGAUUUUUAGUCAAAAACAACUUGCCACUAACCAGGAAGAAACGUUAUACCAUAUCCACUACAAUGAGUUUUAGGGACUGUGGUGCUUCUCUGAGUGGGACAUUCAUUAAAAAAAUUACAGUAAAAUUGCAGUUAUGAUCCACCCCUGCAAUAAAGCAAUAUAUACAGGGCACCCACAGAAAGCUUUGGGAGAGACAUAGUAGGCUGGAUUGUAAACUCUACUAAAUGUUGGAACGUCACAAUGUCCGCAUGCUUUAUUAAGUUUUUCUCUACAUUUGUAAUAUAUUAUCUAUACCGUAUAAAGCCUUGAGUGAAGCCAGACCUGAAUCCCCAUUUUUGUUUGCGGAAAUAGGUGAUUCUAAGAAGCUUUGUAAAAUUCCAAACUGUGUUUUUAUGUGUGCACUGUCCUUUUAAUCUUUAUAAUAUUGUCUGUUAUAAGAGACGGGAAAUCGUUUUCCACCUGAGUCGUGCACUUGGCCUGAAAUAACGACCGCUCCUGUCUUAUCUCUUCCAGCUCGAGAGAUGACCCGUGGGAAGUUCCUCAAUAUCUUGGAGAAGGUGAAGAAGUGACUGAGUGGAUGAUCAUUAAGAGAAUUGACUGUGGACGUGUUAUGGCGAUCGUUCAUUUUCUAACUCUGUCCAUAUGAGAGGACCCAGGAUGGGUGUUGCUCCCCAGACCGCAUUAAAGCACAGCCACUCUUAGUAAAGAGGCAGCUAAAACGUUUUUGUGAAUUUUAAACUUUCCUGAACAGAAAUCAUUACUUUGAACAAUGUGCAAAUUAAAGAGAUAUUUGCAAAUUGUCCAGUUACAAUCUAAAAGCAUAUUUUUCAAAACUGUUUAAGAACAAGUUUUAUGGUUGCUAUAUUAGUCUAUGAAAUGGCUAUCAAAGUUUUGCUAGUUCAAGAACUUAAAUUUCUUUACCUAACGUGGCACUCUAUGCACCUCUGUAGUGGUUAUGGUGCAAAAAGUCCACUGGUGCCUCCUCACAGUAAGAAGCCAAACAAUUUUUAAACAGUUUGACACUAACCUUGGUUGCAAACGAUACUUUUUUUUUUUUUUUUUCUUCUUCUUCUUUUAAAAUAUAGUCAAAGCAGAUGUUCCCAUUCUACUUUCGUAAAUCUUUCGACCUCAUUUAUUAAAUGUGCAAAAUGUCUUUUAGCCAAUGAAUUGAACUUUAGUGAUAUCGUAGAAGACCGGCAGAGCAGUGGGCUCCUGAAGCAUCCUAGGCUUGACUGUGAUUGGGGGCCAGUGUCUACAACUAUUAAAAUAUUCUGCUAUUUAGUGGAAGUAGUGCCUUGUUACUUAUUUAAUAUUUUUUUUCAUAAAAGGAGCGAUUUUGCAGGCCUACAUAGUUAAUUAUGAGAGAACCCAGAAUGAGGGAGAUGGUAUUGCAUACCGGGAUGCUACAAUGGAGCUUAGAGUGUUCCUUUAAACUGUUACCUGCAACUGUAUUCUAAAUUACUGAUCAUGGAGCUCUUCAGGUGGGUGUUCACAAACUUCUACAAUCAGUUGAAUAUGUUCACAAAGCUCUGGAUGAGUUGGUGCUGUGUGACCAUAGAGCGCUGCAGGUGGUUGGAUGGGAUCAGUGUGUUAAUGUGCAGCUCUGCAAAUGGCUGGGUGCAAUGUGUGAUCACAGAGCUCUGCCGGUGGGUGGAUUGAUGCCGGGUGUUUGAUCACAGAGCUCUACAGGUGGGUGGUUUGCUGCCGGGUGUUUGAUCACAGAGCUCUGAAGGUGGGUGGAUUGACGCUGGGUGUUUGAUCACAGAGAUCUACAGGUGGGUGGAUUGCUGCCGGGUGUUUGAUCACAGAGCUCUACAGGUGGGUGGAUUGCUGCUGGGUGUUUGAUCACAGAGCUCUGAGUUGGGUGGAUUGACGCUGGGUGUUUGAUCACAGAGCUCUACAGGUGGGUGGAUUGCUGCCGGGUGUUUGAUCACAGAGCUCUGCCGGUGGGUGGAUUGACGCUGGGUGUUUGAUCACAGAGCUCUGAGUUGGGUGGAUUGCUGCCGGGUGUUUGAUCACAGAGCUCUACAGGUGGGUGGAUUGCUGCCGGGUGUUUGAUCACAGAGCUCUGCCGGUGGGUGGAUUGACGCUGGGUGUUUGAUCACAGAGCUCUGAGUUGGGUGGAUUGCUGCCGGGUGUUUGAUCACAGAGCUCUACAGGUGGGUGGAUUGCUGCCGGGUGUUUGAUCACAGAGCUCUGCCGGUGGGUGGAUUGACGCUGGGUGUUUGAUCACAGAGCUCUGCAGGUGGGUGGAUUGCUGCCGGGUGUUUGAUCACAGAGCUCUACAGGUGGGUGGAUUGCUGCCGGGUGUUUGAUCACUGAGCUCUGCCGGUGGGUGGAUUGACGCUGGGUGAUUGAUCACAGAGCUCAGGAUUAUGAAGAAUAUAUCCCCUACAUGGAGCCUGAAUAUAGAGGAAUAACAAAGUUCAUGUUUCACUCUUUCCAAAGCCAUCAAACACUGUGAGGAAAUUGCCACUUACC